rnacentral:tRNA from 3 species
GGAGAGGUGGCUGAGUGGUCGAUAGCGGCGGUCUUGAAAACCGUUGAGCUCUCACGAGCUCCGGGGGUUCGAAUCCCUCCCUCUCCGCCA